GAUGAACGCUAGCGGGAGGCCUAACACAUGCAAGCCGAGCGGGAUUUGUUGGUUAGCUUGCUAACUAACAAUGAGAGCGGCGUACGGGUGCGUAGCACGUGUGCAACCUGCCUUUAUCUGGGGGAUAGCCUUUCGAAAGGAGGAUUAAUACCCCAUAACAUAUUGAUUGGCAUCAGUUAAUAUUGAAAGCUCCGGCGGAUAGAGAUGGGCACGCGUAAGAUUAGCUAGUUGGUGAGGUAACGGCUCACCAAGGCUGCGAUCUUUAGGGGGCCUGAGAGGGUGCUCCCCCACAGUGGGAAUGAGCCACGGACCAGACGCCUACGGGAGGCAGCGGUGAGGAAUAUUGGACAAGGGGUGAGAGCCUGAUCCAGCCACCCCGCGUGAAGGACUAAGGACCUAGGGUUUGUAAACUUUUUUUAUACAGGAAAAACCCUCCUCUCGGGAGGGUAGAUGAAGGUACUGUAUAAAUAAGCCCCGCCUACCCCCGUG
rnacentral:rRNA from 1 species